GCCGGUGUGGUGGAAUUGGCAGACGCGCUGGACUCAAAAUCCUGUGUUCGCGAGAACGUGUCGGUUCGAGUCCGACCACCGGCACCA
rnacentral:tRNA from 1 species